UACGAGGGGGGCGAGCGUUGUUCGGAAUUAUUGGGCGUAAAGGGUGCGUAGGCGGUUUGGUAAGUCUGAUGUGAAAUCUAUGGGCUCAACUCAUAGUCUGCAUCGGAAACUGCCGGGCUUGAGUAUGGGAGAGGUGAGUGGAAUUCCUGGUGUAGCGGUGAAAUGCGUAGAUAUCAGGAGGAACACCUGUGGCGAAAGCGGCUCACUGGACCAUAACUGACGCUGCGACACGAAAGCGUGGGUAGCAAACAGG
rnacentral:rRNA from 1 species